rnacentral:rRNA from 1 species
GAUGAACGCUAGCGGCAGGCUUAAUACAUGCAAGUCGAGGGGUAACAGGUCUGUUGCUAUACAGAUGCUGACGACCGGCAAACGGGUGCGUAACACGUACAGAACCUUCCUUCGAGUGGGAGAUAGCCCAGGGACACUUGGAGUAAUAUCCCAUCGGAUCAUAGAGUGGCAUCAAUUAGUGAUUAAGGAUUUAUCGCUUGAAGAUGGCUGUGCGGCUGAUUAGGUAGUUGGUGUAGGUAACGGCUCACCAAGCCUUCGAUCAGUAACUGGUGUGAGAGCACGACCAGUCACACGGGCACUGAGACACGGGCCCGACUCCUACGGGAGGCAGCAGUAAGGAAUAUUGGGCAAUGGAGGCAACUCUGACCCAGCCAUGCCGCGUGGAGGAUGAAGGUCCUCUGGAUUGUAAACUUCUUUUAUUUGGGAAGAAAUGCCAAUUUUCUAAUUGGUUUGACGGUACCAGAUGAAUAAGCACCGGCUAACUCCGUGCCAGCAGCCGCGGUAACAC